CCCCAUGGAGAGGCCUCUCCGUGGGGAUGAGGACUGAACCGGGAGGCGCUGUUUGCAACGCCUCCCAGUCCAGCCUUCGUCCCCAUGGAGAGGACUCUCCGUGGGGAUGAGGACUGAACCGGGAGGCGCUGUUUGCAACGCCUCCCAGUCCAGCCUUCGUCCCCAUGGAGAGGCCUCCCCGCGGUUGGGAGCACCCCUGCAACGAAGGGGCUCUCCCUCCCUUUGGCGGAGGCCUGGAGCCAGGGAAGUGACUCCCGCUUCCCUGGCUCCAAGCCUUCGCCAAAGGAAGAAAGCCCCUUCGUUCGGCGGGUGGGUGAACGGGGAGGGCCACAAAAGCCCUCCCCGUUCACCCACCCACCCCCCUGCCCGUGCCUCGGCUCCUUCGUUCCGCCGGGGCGGCAACACUGGUGCCCGGCGAGGCGAAGGAGUCGGACGUGCGUGUUGCUAGGUAGAUAACAAGCUACCUAGCAACACGCACAGGGCGCUGCCCCUUGGGAAGUGCCUCCUGCGUGUUGCUAGGUAGCUUACUAUCUACCUAGCAACACGCAGGGGCCACCUCCCAAGGGGCGAGCGCCCGGUGCAUGUUGCUAGGUAGCUUGCUAUCUACCUAGCAACACGCACGCCAGCGAGCAGGUGAACGGGGAGGGCCUUUACGGCCCUCCCCGUUCACCUGCUCGGAUUGCACGGAGGCUCGAACGAGCGGGGCUCGAACGAGUGGGGUUUUACUGUACAGUAAUUACAACAUAACAUUACUGCAUAUUGAACUGGUUUUUUUGUCAAAUUUGUUGUAAAACAUGAUGUUUUGGUGCUUAAUUUGUAAAAUCAUAACCUAAUUUGAUGAUUAAUAGUCUUUUCCUUAAUACCUCCUUAUUAUCCAAGAUAGUCGCUUAUCCAAGCUUCUGCCAGCCCGUUUAGCUUGGAUAAGUGAGACACUACUGUACUACAUUUCAAGUUUGAGACCUAUUUCUAAUAUUGAUAGGAUUAGGGAGCCAUUUGGCAUGAACAAUUGGAUCAAAAUACAGAGGUAGACAACCUCUACAAAUAGGUACAGUUAUUGCUAAGAAAACACGGAGAAGAACUUCUCUUCUUAUUUUCCUCUACAAGCUUUAUCUCUCUUUUUCUUUCUCUUUGACUUUGGUUUUCAGGCUGCACCUUUCAGACAGGAUGGCAUGGGGAAGAUAGUGAACCACAUUUCUCCAGGUACUUUUCAUAUCAAUCCUUUUUGGAUAUCAGCCAGAAUGCCAAUGUGUUAAAUCAAGAAAUAGCUUCCUAAGAUCUACAGAGAUACUUGCAGGAACAUCACAGCAAGCGAGAGUCCAAAAGUGGCAAGCUAAAACCCAGAACCUCAAUCCAUGGAUGUUACCAGAUGAGAAACUCCCUCCUGGGCAUACAGAAGACAGUGUGACUUGGAAGGCAUUGAACAGACUGUGCUCUGGCACCACAAGAUGCAAAGCCAAUCUUAAGAAAUAGGGCUACAAAGUAGAGUGUGGAGAAGAGCAAACCACAAACCAUUUACUACAAUGCAACCUAUGUCCUGCCACAUGCACAAUGGAGGACCUUCUCACAGUGACACCAUAGACACUCCAAGUGGCCAGCUUCUGUUCGAAGGAAAUCUAGUUUAGUAGAGUUUCGCUUAUCCAACAUAAACGAGCCGGCAGAAUAUUGGAUAAGCAAAAAUGUUGGAUAAUAAGGAGGGAUUAAGGGAAAGCCUAUUAAAUGUCAAAUUACAUUAUAAUUUUACAAAUUAAGCAUCAAAAUAUGUUUUACAACAAAUUGACAGAAAAAGUAGUUCUAUACAUGGUAAUGUUAUAUAGUAUUUACAAAUUUAGCACCAAAACAUUACAAUGUAUUGAAAAAUUGACUACAAAAAACAUGGACUACUAAAAGGCAGACUGCACUGGAUAAUACAAAAUGUUGGAUUAACGAAGGUUGGAUAAGCGAUACUCUACUGUAUAAUGCCAUGUUUUAAACUUUGUUCGUGUUUUUAAAUACAUUAUAACUAUAUCCUCAAUUCCCUUCUGACACGAUAAAUAAAUAAUGGAAUAUACUGGUA